GUGAUUUAAUUAAAAAAAUGCAAAAAAUAUUUUUUGCUAUUUUGAUUUUCGCGCUUCUCCUCUUUUAUAUUUUUUACACGUCCAGUUCGACCAAAAUCGGGUCAAAACCACCAUUUUCUCUCCACAGUCGGUAUUUGGUGCAUAGUCAGAAAUGCAAAAUCCCCAGUAUUGACCCCUUUGACAACCAAGUCAAAGACCACUUUUUGGUGGAAAAGUACCAACCUUGUGGCCCUUCAGAACUCCCCACUUUUGUCACAAUUGACGACAAUGUUGCCACGCUUCACAUCAAUCCGAAAUUCGUCGAGGAGUACCCGGACCUGGCUUGCUACCACCGGAAAAUUGGGCGGCCAAAAGUCCGGAAAAAUCCGGAUAAUUUCAUAACGUUGGGUGAAUUUCAGCCGUUUCAGCGGAACGUCCAACUUGAUUUUGAUUUCGUUUCUGUGCUUUGUAAAAGUGCCAAUAGGACGAUUUACACAAACACACAUGCGGCCCUAACCGUCAAAAAAACCAUCAUUGAGAAACAAGAUGUGAUGAAAAACCGAAAUGAAGCCUUUAGUGUCUUAAUCGUAGGAAUUGACAGCAUUUCCCGUUUGAAUUUUAUACGAAUUUUACGAAAAUCGUACUUGUUUCUGUGGAAAAACAACUGGAUUACCCUUAAGGGCUACAACAAGAUCGACGACAACACAUACCCCAACAUUAUGGCCCUUUUGAGCGGCUUGAAUGAGAAAAACGCGCAGGAAAAAUGCCCUUCGACCAAAUUCCGAGGUUUGGAUCGUUGCCCUUUGAUUUGGUACGACUUCAGAAACUCGGGCUAUGCCACAGCCUAUGCCGAGGAUGAAACCCGAAUGAGCACUUUCAACUUGAACAAGAAGGGCUUCAGUAGCCCCCCCACCGACUACUACUUCCGGCCCUACCUCCAAAGCGCUGAAAAACUGAAAAUCCGGACCUUCUACGGGCUGAAAUUCUGCACAGGGCCUGAAAACACCGGCGAAAGAGUCCUCAAUUUGGCCAAGAAUUUUAGCAAAAUCCUGAAAAACAGGCCCAAUUUUGGGUUUUUCUGGAUGAACAGUUUCAGUCACAAUGACCUCAACUCGGCUUCAGCUAUGGACGAGAAAAUCUCGCAGUUUUUGCAAGAUGUGAGCAAUUCAGGAGUUUUGCAAAACUCGUUCAUGGUCUUUUUGAGCGACCAUGGGACGCGAUGGGGGGAUUUCCGUGAAACUCCAAUGGGGUGGUAUGAAGAGAGACUACCGUUUAUCUACUUAUGGGUGCCUGAAAAUUUCAAAAAACGGUUUCCUCAAGAAUUUAGAAACCUAAAACUCAAUGUUAACAAGUUGACAACCACGUAUGAUGUUUAUAUGACUUUGCAACAUAUUCUGGUACUUUCUGGGCAAAAUUAUACCAUGAAGCCCAGUCAAGGGUGUCCCAAAUGUCGAUCAUUGUUUGACCAAAUUCAGAAAGAGAGGUCUUGUGAGGACGCUGGGAUUGAGCCCCAUUGGUGCACUUGUAUCAAUUAUUCGCCCAUAAAUCAAACAAAUUUGGUCGAAAGUGCCUCUAGUUACGUCCUCCAAUACAUAAACGGGGUCAUUACGGCCAAAAACGCCGCCAAAAUGUGUCGCACUUAUACUUUAGGAAAAAUUAUCUCUGCGAGAAUUUCAGAUGAUCAGAAAUUCCUUUUAUUGGUCUUGGAGACUACUCCAAAAGCCAUUUUUGAAGUCACAGUGUGGCAUAGACCGGGAAGUAAACCGGCUUUUAGUGUCAAGGGCGGAAUUAGCCGAAUUGACAGAUACCGUGACCACAGCAUAUGCAUGCGUGACGAUUGGUUAAAAAAACUUUGUUAUUGUCGAUAAUAAAAUUAAGCUAAAUUUAGAUGUGUCAUUGAUCCCAAAUUCUUAUCGUUGUGAUAAAAUCAAAUUACGGAUUCUAAAUAUACACAAAUCUGAAUCAUGCAAUUUUCCGGGUCACGUAAACUCUAGAGAAAAAAUUUCGUUUAUUUUAAAAAAAGAAAUUUUUCUUUCUAAAUUUCUUAAAAACAAUCUUUUAUUUGCACUUCAAAUAUCAAAAUUUGGGCUAUUUCUUACUAUUUCGUCACAAAAAACGGAUUUUCGUAUAAAAUUAAGAGGUUUAGAAAAAAAAUUA